rnacentral:lncRNA from 1 species
AGACCUGAGCUGCAUGGACAGGAACAGUGGCCUAUCAUCGCUCCCUAGUGUCUGUGCUAUUGAAGACGCUUGUCCUGAAGAUGGGGGACCACCUGAAGAGGUGCCCAGGGAACAGACUCCCCUUAAAACUUGACAAGGAUAUUUCCUGGGACCUAGGGAGCACAGACCAAGUGGGGCUAGCGUUCUCACAGUAGGACAUCGAGGUGUCUGGGAAAGAGACUUUGGCAGGCCCAGCCUUAUUAGAGCUCUGGAGAUUCAAACUCAGGUCCUCAUGCUUGGGUGGCACGUGCCUCAUCUGCU